UGCGGCCGUAACUCCGGUUGAUCCUGCCGGACCCGACCGCUAUCGGGGUGGGACUAAGCCAUGCAAGUCGAACGCCCCGGGCUAUGGCGGGGCGUGGCGUACGGCUCAGUAACGCGUGGCUAACCUACCCUCGGGACGGGGAUAACCCCGGGAAACUGGGGCUAAUCCCCGAUAGGGGAAGGCGCCUGGAAUGGUCCUUCCCCGAAAGGGAUGUAGCGCCAUGCCCGCUGCGUCCGCCCGAGGAUGGGGCUGCGUCCCAUCAGGUAGUUGGCGGGGUAACGGCCCGCCAAGCCUGUAACGGGUAGGGGCCGUGAGAGCGGGAGCCCCGAGAUGGGCACUGAGACAAGGGCCCAGGCCC
rnacentral:rRNA from 1 species